rnacentral:rRNA from 1 species
GACGAACGCUGGCGGCGUGCUUAACACAUGCAAGUCGAACGGAAAGGCCCUGCUUUUGUGGGGUGCUCGAGUGGCGAACGGGUGAGUAACACGUGAGUAACCUGCCCUUGACUUUGGGGUAACUUCAGGAAACUGGGGCUAAUACCGGAUAGGAGCUACUGCUGCAUGGUGGGGGUUGGAAAGUUUCGGCGGUUGGGGAUGGACUCGCGGGUUAUCAGCUUGUUGGGGGGGUAGUGGCUUACCAAGGCUUUGACGGGUAGCCGGCCUGAGAGGGUGACCGGCCACAUUGGGACUGAGGUACGGCCCAGACUCCAACGGGAGGCAGCGGUGGGGAAUCUUGCACAGUGGGCGGAAGCCUGAUGCGGCAACGCCGCGUGCGGGAUGCCGGCCUUCGGGUUGUAAACAGCUUUCGCAUGUGACGAAGCGUGAGUGACGGUAAUGGGUAAAGAAGCACCGGCUAACUACGUG